AAACCGUUCAGGGGUAAACCCGAGAAACCCGAAAGAUUCGAACGGGGAGAUUCAUCGUCAGCGCGGCUGGCUUCGCGUCGGUCGGCGAUGUCCCGCGGUGCCGCCUCGUCGCGGCUCCCGCGCGGGCACGCUACCGUGCGCCGAUGUCCGGCUCGCGUCGUCGUGCACUUCUCCCCUAGUAGGACGUCGCGACCCGCUGGGUGUCGGUCUACGGCCCGGGGCUGAGGUGACUGUCGCGCCUGCACGUCAAACUGCGCGCGCGGCAAACUCCCGGCCGCCCGGCCGACUGCCCGGCGGUAUACGAAACGGUAUCAGGCCGCGCCUCGAGCGCGUCGAGCCCGUCGCAAGCGAGCGCCACGGUACCCGGAGGCACGGACCUAGCGCCGUCCCCGGUCCUGGCCCGCUGCUAGCUCGUACGGUGUAACCUUCGACCGGCCUGAGCACCGCGUCCCGGUAAAACGGGGCGCGGCAUACCGGUCGGCGACGCUACUGCUUUGGGUACUCUCAGGA
rnacentral:rRNA from 1 species